AUUGAACGCUGGCGGAAUGCUUUACACAUGCAAGUCGAACGGUAGAGGGGGCAACCCCUCGAGAGUGGCGAACGGGUGAGUAAUAUAUCGGAACGUGCCCAGUCGUGGGGGAUAACGUAGCGAAAGUUACGCUAAUACCGCAUACUAUCUAAGGAUGAAAGCGGGGGAUCGCAAGACCUCGCUCGAUUGGAGCGGCCGAUAUCAGAUUAGGUAGUUGGUGGGGUAAAGGCUCACCAAGCCAACGAUCUGUAGCUGGUCUGAGAGGACGACCAGCCACACUGGAACUGAGACACGGUCCAGACUCCUACGGGAGGCAGCAGUGGGGAAUUUUGGACAAUGGACGCAAGUCUGAUCCAGCCAUUCCGCGUGCAGGAUGAAGGCCCUCGGGUUGUAAACUGCUUUUGUACGGAACGAAAAGGUCUCUCUUAAUACGGGGGGCUCAUGACGGUACCGUAAGAAUAAGCACCGGCUAACUACGUGCCAGCAGCCGCCGUAA
rnacentral:rRNA from 1 species